rnacentral:rRNA from 1 species
CCUACGGAGGCUGCAGUGAGGAAUAUUGGUCAAUGGGCGCGAGCCUGAACCAGCCAAGUAGCGUGAAGGAUGACUGCCCUACGGGUUGUUAACUUCUUUUAUAAAGGAAUAAAGUGCGGCACGUGUGCCUCUUUGUAUGUACUUUAUGAAUAAGGAUUGGCUAACUUCGUGCCAGCAGCCGCGGUAAUACGGAGGAUCCGAGCGUUAUCCGGCUUUAUUGGGUUUAAAGGGAGCGUAGAUGGGUUGUUAAGUCAGGUGUGAAAGUUUGCGGCUCAACCGUAAAAUUGCAAUUGAUACUGGCAGUCUUGAGUAGAGUUGAGGUAGGCGGAAUUCGUGGUGUAGCGGUGAAAUGCUUAGAUAUCACGAAGAACUCCGAUUGCGAAGGCAGCUUACUGACCUGCCACUGACAUUGAUGCUCGAAAGUGUGGGUAUCGAACAGGAUUAGAUACCCUGGUAGUC